UGAAAGCCUGAAAUACUCAUACCACUCAGGGGAUGCAUUAUAAUAACACACUAAAUAAAGAGGUAUUAAUGAAAGCCUGAAAUACUCAUACCACUCAGGGGAUGCAUUAUAAUAACACACUAAAUAAAGAGGUAUUAAUGAAAGCCUGAAAUGCUCAUACCACUCAGGGGAUGCAUUAUAAUAACACACUAAAUAAAGAGGUAUUAAUGAAAGCCUGAAAUACUCAUACCACUCAGGGGAUGCAUUAUAAUAACACACUAAAUAAAGAGGUAUUAAUGAAAGCCUGAAAUGCUCAUACCACUCAGGGGAUGCAUUAUAAUAACACACUAAAUAAAGAGGUAUUAAUGAAAGCCUGAAAUACUCAUACCACUCAGGGGAUGCAUUAUAAUAACACACUAAAUAAAGAGGUAUUAAUGAAAGCCUGAAAUGCUCAUACCACUCAGGGGAUGCAGUAUAAUAACACUAGAAUGUAACAAGGAUCAUCUCUACAAGGUUGAAUUAGUUUAAUUAAAUAGUUUAAUUGUUAAAGUUCUAAUCUCUCA